rnacentral:tRNA from 17 species
GGCGGCAUGGCCGAGUGGUAAGGCGCGGGACUGCAAAUCCCUUUCUCCCCAGUUCAAAUCCGGGUGUCGCCU